UGGUCACCAACCAGUGGAGAGUCUUCACUGUGGAUCCCAGUAAAGCUCUGAGCCAGAUACACACACGCACACACACAGACACACACUCACACACAGAGUCAUGUGAUUUCCAGUAACUGCCGAGCGGAGGAGGAGUCUCCAGUGAAAGUGAAAGUGUUCAGACUCGUUCUAACUACGAGGAGCAGACGUGAAGUCUGAGGCUGCAGUGGUCACCAACCAGUGGAGUCUUCACUGUGGAUCCCAGUAAAGCUCUGGACUCACUGGCUGAGAUAAAGAUUGAAACUGGUGUGAAAGAUCAUUUCACUGUGUUCUGCUUUAAACUGAGCGCAGAACCAGAAGGAAAUAGACCAGACCUUGAAUAUCUAGAAGAGCAGCGCGGCCUGAACCACAACUGAGCCGCAGCCGGCCCGGUGCAACAUGGACGAGGACACUUCAGAGCAAGUUGGACCCUCACA